GAAUCUUGCGCAAUGGGCGAAAGCCUAACGCAGCGACGCCGCGUGCGGGAAGAAGGCCUUCGGGUUGUAAACCGCUUUCAGGAGGGACGAAGCCACUCGGGUGAAUAGCCCAGAGGGUGACGGUACCUCCAGAAGAAGCCCCGGCUAACUACGUGCCAGCCGCCGCGGUAAUACGUAGGGGGCAAGCGUUGUCCGGAUUUAUUGGGCGUAAAGAGCGUGUAGGCGGUCAGGUAGGUCGGUUGUGAAAACUGGAGGCUCAACCUUCAGAGGUCGACCGAAACCCCCUGGCUAGAGUCCGGGAGAGGAGAGUGGAAUUCCUGGUGUAGCGGUGAAAUGCGCAGAUAUCAGGAAGAACACCCGUGGCGAAAGCGGCUCUCUGGAACGGUACUGACGCUGAGACGCGAAAGCGUGGGGAGCGAACAGG
rnacentral:rRNA from 1 species